rfam:Brassica napus, WGS project CCCW01000000 data, contig: 6964
GGAAGUUAAGAAACUGUUUCUUAACUUUUAACUAAAAAAACUAAGAACCGGUUCUUAAAUAAGGACUUUAAGAAUCGGUUCUUAACCUUUUUAGUUAAAAGUUAAGAAACAGUUUCUUAACUUCC